rnacentral:rRNA from 1 species
UACAGGGGGUGCAAACGUUGCUCGGAAUCAUUGGGCGUAAAGCGCACGUAGGCGGUUUGUUAUGUCGGAUGUGAAAGCCCUUGGCUCAACUGAGGAAGUGCAUCCGAAACUGGCAGCUAGAGUACUAAAGAGGGUCGCGGAAUUCCCGGUGUAGAGGUGAAAUUCGUAGAUAUCGGGAGGAACACCGGUGGCGAAGGCGGCGACCUGGGUAGAUACUGACGCUGAGGAGCGAAAGCGUGGGGAGCGAACAGG